rnacentral:ncRNA from 1 species
CGGAGCUGGUAAUAACAAACUAGUUUGUGCCUAGAUGUUCCCGAGUGGUACACUCGACUUAAGUCUAGGAACAUCACAGCUAGCACUGCCGCUCUA